AAGCUAGGGAGCUGAAAGGAAAAAACGACGUUCUGCCCUCCUUUUACCUAGGAUAGGAAUAAGAGAACUAUAAACCUGGUGUGGUGGUGCAUAACGGUUAGGCCAGCAACUGGGGAAGCUAAGGCAGGAAAAUGGCAAGUUUGAGUCCAGUCUCAGCAACUAAACCAGACCCUAUCUAA
rnacentral:lncRNA from 1 species